rnacentral:rRNA from 1 species
GACGAACGCUGGCGGCGUGCCUAAUACAUGCAAGUCGAACGCAGUGGGGACGGGUGAGUAACACGUGGAUAACCUCCCCUCAGAGGGGAUAACACUUGGAAACAGGUGCUAAACCGCAACUGAUGGAUGGACCCGCUGUGCAUUAGCUAGUUGGUGAGGUAACGGCUCACCAAGGCCACGAUGCAUACCGGACCUGAGAGGGUGACCGGCCACACUGGAACUGAGACACGGUCCAGACUCCUACGGGAGGCAGCAGUAGGGAAUCUUGGGCAAUGGACGAAAGUCUGACCGAGCAACGCCGCGUGAGUGAAGAAGGUUUUCGGAUUGUAAAACUCUGUUGGUAGAGAAGCGGUAUUUAACCAGAAAGCAACGGCUAACUACGUGCCAGCAGCCGCGGUAAUUC